rnacentral:rRNA from 1 species
AUGGGGUGCUCCAAACUCAUAGCUGGCAUGUUCACCAUGCUCCUCCUUGCUCCGGCUGUCCUGGCCACCGACCCUGACCCUCUCCAGGACUUUUGUGUGGCCGACCUUGACGGCAAGACGGUCUCAGUGAACGGCCACCCAUGCAAGCCCAUGUCGGAGGCCGGCGACGACUUCCUCUUCUCUUCCAAGCUGGCCAAGGCCGGCAACACGUCCACCCCGAACGGCUCCGCUGUGACGGAGCUCGACGUGGCUGAGUGGCCCGGUACGAACACGCUGGGCGUGUCCAUGAACCGUGUGGACUUUGCGCCGGGAGGCACCAACCCGCCGCACGUCCACCCGCGCGCCACCGAGAUUGGCAUCGUGAUGAAAGGUGAGCUCCUCGUUGGUAUCCUUGGCAGUCUCGACUCCGGGAACAAGCUCUACCCCAGGGUGGUGCGCGCUGGAGAGACGUUCCUCAUCCCACGCGGGCUCAUGCACUUCCAGUUCAGCGUCGGCAAGACGAAGGCCUCCAUGGUCGUAUCCUUCAACAGCCAGAACCCGGGCAUUGUCUUCGUGCCACUCACGCUCUUUGGCUCCAACCCACCAAUCCCCACGCCGGUGCUCACCAAGGCGCUUCGGGUGGAGGCCGGGGUCGUCGAACUUCUCAAGUCCAAGUUC